rnacentral:rRNA from 1 species
GACGAACGCUGGCGGCGUGCUUAACACAUGCAAGUCGAACGGGCCUUGUCCCCUUUUUUUUUGGGGGUGGGGUUAGUGGCGAACGGGUGAGUAACACGUGAGUAACCUGCCCCUCACUUCUGGAUAACCGCUUGAAAGGGUGGCUAAUACGGGGUGUUCUGGCCUGCUCGCAUGGGUGGGUUUGGAAAGAUUCGACCGGUUUUGGUUGUUUUGGUGGGGGAUGGGCUCGCGGCCUAUCAGCUUGUUGGUGGGGUGAUGGCCUGCCAAGGCUUUGACGGGUAGCCGGCCUGAGAGGGUGGGCGGUCACACUGGGACUGAGACACGGCCCAGACUCCUACGAGAGGCAGCAGUGGGGAAUAUUGCACAAUGGGCGCAAGCCUGAUGCAGCGACGCCGCGUGAGGGAUGGAGGCCUUCGGGUUGUGAACCUCUUUCGCCAGUGAAGAAGGUCCUGCUCUUUGUGGUGGGGUUGACGGUAGCUGGGUUAAUGAAGCGCCGGCUAACUACGUG